rnacentral:misc_RNA from 1 species
CCCCCCCCCCCCAUCGUGAUCGGCGUGUGUGCCGGUGGGAUCGACACGCAACAGCGGACAGCAACAAACGGAAAACACAUCCGCAAAAAGAAGUUUGCACGUAUACACACACAGCGCGCACACACAUGCAGACAACAUUUACAGAGGUGUCUCCUUGGACAAGUGGUUAUGACGAUGAAAAACAACCGUCAUUAAGCAACAGGGGGGAGAAACAUCAUAGGAAACACCAGCAGCCAUACAAAGAGGAAUAACAACAACUCUCUCUCACACAAACGCAGAGACACACAGAGACAUUCGCGCACACUGGAAUACACAAAACACCUCUAUUCAUGCAGAUGAUGAUGCGACUCCACAUCCGCGUUGCAUUGACAUCGCUGCCAAGCAGCAGAGGUUACGUCUCCAAGGAGGGCGGCUACCUCGGCACUCGCCGGCCCGCUUCGCAGGCCACCUCGUCUGUGAGCUUCUCGGCGAGCAUGUCGGCAUCUUCGUCGAAUGCGCUCGGCACAUCCUCCGCCCGUAUCAAGCCCUCGUCUUACCUGUAUUGCUCAUUCAUGGGCCACUCCACACGCUUUGCCGCGAUGGCGCCUCCGCUUACACGCGCCGGUAUCACGCAGCUGGAACGCGAGCCUCUGGCGCAUAGCACCCCUGGCCGCAUCAACGACCACAUUUGCAUUGGUAUGGUCAAGACGCUGCGCUGGCUGGCCGAUCGCGCCUUUCGUGAGCGGUACAUCCACCGAGCAACAAUGCUGGUAACCGUUGCGGCUGCAGCUCCAGCAGCGGGCUCUGUGGCGGCGUAUUUACGCAUGCUCUUCAGGCGGAGCAACAGCAGCAGCGCCUGCACAGGCGAUUCACAGAUGCCCACAACAGCCGAAGCGAGCUCCCCGUUUCUGGCCUUUGGCGGCUCUCCAAGUGCCGGCGCCGCCCCACCUAUUCCUCCUGCGUGCCGCUCCUUCGCCAUGGCGCGCCCCUCACUCUACAUGUCUACGUCCAGCGCCACCAUGGAAGGAACAGGGUCGACACCAGAGCAUUCCUAUGUGGACGAGCUCCGCGGCCUGCUUGCGCAGUGCGAGAGCCACGCCGUUCAUUACCAGGUACUGAGCUGCAUGGCCGAAAUCACCCUUCUUGAGCGCGGUCUCGUACUCCUGCUGCAGGCAGUACACUUUACCAUUUACCUGGCCUUGUUUCUCCUCUAUCCGCGCAUGGGCUUUCGGCUCAUGGCUUACACAGCGGAGGAGUCCUCUGUGGUGUGGACGCAGAUGGUGAACGAUGUCGACCUUGGCAAGAUUGCCGAGCCGCGUGUGCCGCAACUGGCACUGCACUACUGGGGCCUAGAGGGGGUCUUUACCGCACAGGCGGCGCCACUGCCGAAAACGGUGGCUCCGCAGGAGCAGGAGGCAGCUCUCUACAAGACGAGCGAGGGACUUGUGACAGAACAGAUCCCUGUUACUGACGCGCCGAUAUCGGGUGCCUCGCCGGACGGUGGCGAUAACGGCCAUCGGGCUGCAACGCCUCUGUCACGAUCCGCCGACCACGUGCCUGUGCCUUUCGCGGCGGCGGGUUCUUGCGACGACAGCGCUGUGGACAGUAAGGAGAGCGAAGAGCGCGUCAUCACUACCUCCGACCGUGGCGCCGGCCCGGGGGCGUCCGUCUUGACGCUGCGCGAUGUUGCACUGCUCAUCCGCUCUGAUGAGAUGAUCUUCCGCGACCUGAAUCACGAAUUGGCGAAUAAGCUGGACAUGCAGCCGAGCUGGACGCAGCGCCUCUUAGCAUCCCUCGGCGGAGAGAAGUAGCCGGGAAGUCCAGCGCAGAGACCGUGCACAACACGGACUGAAACGUGUGCAUCGGGUUUCGUGUAGGUGUGGCAAUCUCAGCCUCUGGGGAGGAGCGGCAGCGCUCUCGCGCCCUUCAACACGCUGACACUGAGGGAGUGUCUGAUGGUGCUCCAACAGCAAGAAGGUGAUUCUUCUCGGAGCCCAGACAGACAUGUACAUGCGGGGGCAAGGAGGUGGCGCUGUGCCUCUUCUUCCUUUAGUUGCUGUUUUCCGCCUACUCUUCCUUAAAUGUGAGAGUUGGGUAUUGCACCCUUCUGUUAUCCUUGCUUUUCU